rnacentral:rRNA from 1 species
UACGGGGGGGGCAAGCGUUGUUCGGAAUUAUUGGGCGUAAAGAGCGUGUAGGCGGUCCGGUAAGUCGGUUGUGAAAGUCCAGGGCUCAACCCUGGGAUGCCGACCGAUACUGUCGGACUAGAGUUCGGAAGAGGCGAGUGGAAUUCCCGGUGUAGCGGUGAAAUGCGCAGAUAUCGGGAGGAACACCUAUGGCGAAGGCAGCUCGCUGGGACGUUACUGACGCUGAGACGCGAAAGCGUGGGGAGCAAACAGG